ensembl:lncRNA
GGUUAUUGUAGAGCCACCUCAUUAGUCUUCUUUAUAACUGGUACAAACGGGGGGGAAUAAAAGGGAAGUACCUGAAAGCGUUGAGUUGAUACUCAACGCAGCUGAAGGUUUUGAUCAGAGAUCCGAUGCCCGGCUGCCUGGUUUGUGGUGGAAGUACAAAUAACCUGCAGGAAAAACGGAGCCGCAGCUGUCCUCGAUAUUCUGCCGAUGGAGGGAAACACCAGGGUAAGAGCAGACCCCUCUGUUGCUGUCCCUGUACCGACUCCCUCAGGGCUGUUUUGACUUGAUUCUAUCAACUUGAUUUGAUCUUUUUCAAUUAUAUGUUGGUAGUUGUAAAACGCAUGAACUAUUUUGUUUGCAAUUUUGUGUGUCAUGUAUCCUUUUGUGUUUAGUCUUAAUGCUGUAGGUAGUUACAUUUGACAAUAUUAAUGAAUAUUACGAUAAAGCUGAAUUGGGUCCAUAUUACAAUUUAUUGUAAAAAAUAAAAGUGAAUUCCAUUGUAGUUUUAAAGUAGCCGUAGGUCAUUUCAGUAAAAUGAAUUCCCGUCCCUGAGUUCUUCUUCCUCCUCAAAAGAAAUUCACUUUGGGCAAACCUAAAGUGAAAUGGAAGUUUGGAGCUUCUUCAGCUUCUGAAAGGGAAUAGUCGUUGAGUGUACAAGAAGGAUUUAAAUCACAUUUUUUUGCAUUCGAUUGGACCUCUGAAAGGUGGGCUGCCGUUUAGCGUGAUAUGGACCUGCAGGGGUCUUCUGUUUCCACACACACCUCCCUCACUCGUUAGAUGCUGCAGGAGGACGAGGGACAGACGAGAGGGAAAUAUGUCCCGUUUUCAACCAGCCGCAAAUGCCCGACCGCCCCGUUCAGCCUCCAGCAAAGCCCCGACGGUGCGGAGAUGCCACCAGUUCAGCGAGCGGCACCCAUUGGAAGUCCACCUGCUUUUCCUGGCCCCAUCCUGCUGUCGCCGACGUCUAUGCCUCCAAGAGGAGCUGCUUUCAUCUCCACCGAGUUUGACCCGACCAAGUUGGCACCGAGUAGUGUAAAACACCCGGAGGACUCCAUCCAGGACUCUAUAGGAGACACAGGCAUGCCUUUGGAUAUGUGCGCCGACCACCAGCUGGGUUCUCCCACAGCACCGGUGAUGACCCUGCCGGGCACGGGAGUCAUGCAGGGUUCCAGACUGGGCAUGCCCCCUCUGCAGCCUCCCCCCAACAUGCCGAAUCCUCAUCUACCUCCUUUCCUCUCGCCUCCAAACAUGUCGCACAAUCACCCGCAAAUGAUGCCCGGACGGCCCGUGUUUUCUCCGGAGAGGUUCAGGAUGCCCAUGCCCUUUCCGCCUCGCGGCCCUCCUUUCCAUCGGCAUCUCUCCAUGGGACCAGACGGCAUGCACGACAGGGAAGGGAUGCAUUUCAGAAACGGGAGAGCAGGGUUUGGGUGCCCGCCCUUCCAGAGAGGGAGGUGGUAGAAGCAGGCAGAAUGACAGACCUGAGGGGAGAGGCGUCGGGAUCACUGUGACGGAUCAGUAUCACGACAUCUGGUUCAACAAGGAACUGCUGUAAAUAAUUGAGGGUGCUUAGACUUCUUUUAGUACCGCACCCUUUUCUUACCGUCACAUGAACAAUCACACAGACAGUGUUCUGAAUGUGAUCCACGCACCUCCAAGUUCACCAGAGGAGAGACCUUUUGUUGUAAAUACUGUACAUGCUCGUAGCUGUUUGCUAUCUUUUUGUAUAUUUGAAGUGUGUAGUUCAUGCUGAAGUCUAAUCUUAGUAGUUGGAGGGGAAAAAACAAAGGCAACGUCUGUAUUUUUGAGCGUAUUCCCUUUACCAUAGUUUUUGUCUAAGGAAGGAGACUGAAAAUCUAUAAUUCAAUCACCGUUUUGGUAUUUAGUUUUUAGCGAAAUGGCUUUUGUAACACACUAAUGUUUAAUUCCUGAGUUAAGAAGUUUGAUUUCAUUUGAAGUGGAAGAUUCAUGUCCUGCCAGCAGAGGGUAGUGUAAACCCUGUUACCGCGGCCAACCCCUGUUGUACAUUAAGGUCACACCUUGUAACUCGCAUUGAAAAUUAAAAAAAGGUUUCAAUUUGA